GUCCUUCGCGAAUCUUUUUGCGGUCUGGGCUUGCUGUAUAUAACUACCUAGCCGGGAAGCCCUUACCCCAAAAAGCAUUCGCGGAGGGCG
rnacentral:pre_miRNA from 1 species